rnacentral:rRNA from 1 species
UACGAAGGGAGCUAGCGUUGUUCGGAAUCACUGGGCGUAAAGCGCACGUAGGCGGAUGUGUCAGUCAGGGGUGAAAUCCCGGAGCUCAACUUCGGAACUGCCUUUGAUACAGCACAUCUGGAGUCCGGAAGAGGUGGGUGGAAUUACUAGUGUAGAGGUGAAAUUCGUAGAUAUUAGGAAGAACACCGGUGGCGAAGGCGGCCCACUGGUCCGGUACUGACGCUGAGGUGCGAAAGCGUGGGGAGCAAACAGG